rnacentral:rRNA from 1 species
UACGUAGGUGGCAAGCGUUGUCCGGAAUUAUUGGGCGUAAAGAGCUCGUAGGCGGCUGUCCACGUCGGAUGUGAAAGCUCGGGGCUCAACCCUGAGAGGCCAUUCGAUACGGGACGGCUAGAGGUAGGUAGGGGAGAUUGGAAUUCCUGGUGUAGCGGUGAAAUGCGCAGAUAUCAGGAGGAACACCGGUGGCGAAGGCGGAUCUCUGGGCCUUACCUGACGCUGAGGAGCGAAAGCUGGGGGAGCGAACAGG